UUUUUCAUCAUUUCUGACAUAGCCCAUUCUACAGUUGUUGAAGAAGUGUCUGUUCCAGCAAUGAACAAAUCCAAAAUGACAGCUUUGAGGCUGUUGGUUGUGACAGGACACUGAAGUCUGCCACUUCCUUGAAGCUUUAGGAGAACAUCAACAAGGUCUUCUUUCUCUGAUUCAAGUUCACUGCUACUUUUGUUCAUCAAUUUCUUCUUGUGUUCAUCUAUGAUAUUACCGAAGACCCUGCCCAGUUCGUCUCGAAGUUUCUCUAAUUUGCCUUUGACCCCACUGAUUACGUGAAGGAACUCUAUAGAAGGGUAUACAUCAGCUAUACCAAAA
rnacentral:misc_RNA from 1 species